UACAGAGGGGGCGAGCGUUGUUCGGAAUUACUGGGCGUAAAGGGCUCGUAGGCGGCCAACUAAGUCAGACGUGAAAUCCCUCGGCUUAACCUGGGAACUGCAUCCGAUACUGGAUGGCUUGAAUUCGGGAGAGGGAUGCAGAAUUCCAGGUGUAGCGGUGAAAUGCGUAGAUAUCCGGAAGAACACCGGUGGCGAAGGCGGCCUGCUGGGACAGUGCUGACGCUGAAGCGCGACAGCGUGGGGAGCAAACAGG
rnacentral:rRNA from 1 species